rnacentral:misc_RNA from 1 species
CUUCUCCAACAACACGCGUGUUAGAAAAUCUGUGAUAGUACUUUGUUUGCAGGCAAAGAUGUGAAACAUUAUAACCUGUUUAUUCGUCUGGUGUAGUGCAAAGAUAAUUUGACGUUUAGGGUAGAAGUCAGUUUUCAUUAUAGCGCGAGGCGUGUGGGGAGUGAAGGAUGAUAAGGUAUUAGUAAUAGGAAGGUAAGAUUAAAGCCAAGAUGGCUGAGUUUGUGAGGGGUGGACCGGCGACGGGGAUAAUUCUGCCGAAAGAAAAGCUUCAGGGUUCCCCUAGCACAGGGAGUGAUGAAGGACACGACGGUGCUAUUGGGGAGGAGUUCGAUCCUUUUUUGGGAGACGCCGAAGAAGCUGAAGGUGCUAAUGUGUCAACGGUAGUAGCACCUCCUGAAAAUUUAUGGUACCAUGGACGGCUUGAUCGGUAUACAGCCGAAGAACGUCUAUGGCAAGCAGCAAAAAUGGGAAGUUACCUUGUUCGUGAAAGUGACAGAAAACCAGGGUCGUAUGUGUUAUCGUAUCUUGGUCGAACAGGAAUCAAUCACUUUAGGAUAACUGCUGUCUGUGGUGAUUUCUACAUUGGUGGUAGGCAGUUCGAUUCACUGUCUGAUCUCAUAGGUUACUACACAAGCUGCUCAGACCUUUUGAAACGCGAAAGGUUAAUGCAUCCUGUUCCACCACCUGAACCAGUAAACGAUAAGAAAAGAAUUGUUGCCAUUUUACCAUACACCAAAAUGCCCGACACAGAUGAGCUAAGUUUUCAGAAAGGUGAUAUAUUUUUUGUCCAUAAUGACAUGGGAGAUGGAUGGCUGUGGGUAACGGCACAUCGGACUGGCGAACAGGGAAUGAUUUUCCGAGAUUUGGUUGAAGACUUGGAUGAAAAUAUUGAUCCAAAUACUGUUUUUAGUUGGUUUCAUCCGAAUGUUACCAAAAGUGAAGCUGUUGAUAUGCUUGUUAAAGCUGGACCGGGAAGCUUCCUUGUUAGACCAAGUGACAACUCACCUGGAGACUAUUCUCUGUUCUUUCACAUCAAUAAUCAGAUUCAAAGAUUUCGUAUUGAGAAGAAGGGUGUUCGAUAUUUGAUGGGUGGCCGUACAUUUGAAUGUUUGGAUGCUGUCAUAAACAGAUAUAGAAAGGAACAGAUUGUGGAAGGCCACACGUUAGUUAUGGCUGUGAGUAGGAAUAUGGAUGGAGAUGGAACAAUAAAAUCAAAAGAAGUACAGCAUGCUGAGAAGAUUUAUGCCACACUUCGUGAAUGCAGGGAACAAUCGGGGGUGAAGAAAAAUAAAGGCAUUAAAAUGCAGGGUUACCUCAACAAGAAGAGUGAGAAAAACAAGAAAUGGAAGUCAAUGUAUUUUGUGUUAUUGGUUGAUGGAACUGAUACUCAUUUAUAUUUUUAUGAUAAUCCAAAGCGUACAAAACCAAAGGGUCUUAUUGAUCUCAGCUGUGCCUACCUGUAUCAGGUCCAUGAUAGUGUUUUUGAUCGACCACAUUGCUUCCAGCUUGUUGAACGUGCACUGCCAUGUUUGGCUACAAUCACCUAUUUGUGUUCUAAUUCUGCUGACACCACACAGGACUGGAUAACAGCAUUGAAGCCUCUCUGUGUAACACAGCAAACAAGAUCACCCAAGGUGCAAAGGUUGAGAGAGUUAAGGUGCCUGCAGCUGCAUAUUCUUGAUGCUCAUAGGUUGCCAUACAAGUUAGUGCCAAACCCUUUUUGUAUUAUAUCUCUUAAUCAAGUGAAAGUGGCCCGUACAAAAGUAAAAACAGGGCCAGAUCCAGUCUGGGAUGAGGAGUUUAUUCUGGAUGAUGUCCCACCAGAUGUUUUAACAUUCACUGUAACUGUGUACAACAAAGGAAAGCGUUCAAAGGAUACUGAAGUUGCUGAGUUGACAGUGGAGCUCAGUAGUUUGACCAAUGGGGAUGAGACGGAGGACUGGUACCAGCUGUCGGGCAUCACACCAAUCGGCGAAUGGGGCUCACUACGUCUGCGCACAAGAUAUCUCCAUGACCUUAUAAUGCCACAAGAAGAGUACUCUCCACUGCAGCAGUUGGUACUGGAUCCAUCUCUGGAAGUGGUUCGAGCUUUGGCAGACACAUGCCACUUGGACAGAGCCCCACUAGCUACUUCUUUGCUGCGUAUUUUUAGGUAUGAAAGGAAGGAAGCUGACCUGUUGAAAGCACUAAAUGAAGCUGAGAUCGAGAAAGAAGAAGAAACAUCUACGCUUUUCCGAGCAGCAUCUCUCACAACUACCCUCAUGGACUUAUAUAUGAAAUCUGUCUGCACUGGUUUUCUACAAUCAGCUAUUCAGGAUACUAUUUUAAAACUGCUUGAAUCGAAACAGUCAUGUGAGUUGAAUCCAACAAAGAUGGAAUCGCCCGAUGAUGCUUGUGCCAAUGCUGAGUUUCUGCUUCAAGUUCUUGAUGAAGUUACUCAUUCCAUCUUUAUGUCUGCCGAUGCUUGCCCAAAGACUGUAAGAUACAUCUGUGGCUGUUUGCAGAGGUCUGUAAUGAGCAAGUGGCCUCAUGAGAGACUUGUACGCACACGUGUUGUAAGUGGGUUCAUAUUCCUGAGGUUACUCUGCCCAGCAAUUCUGAAUCCUCGACAGUUUAAUCUGAUAUCAGAUAGAAAGCAUGCAAAACCAGAAAUCUGCAAGUCAAGAAGUAAAGUGCAUACAUAAAGUCCUAAAGGUGAUCAAUCUGUAUGGACUCAUUUGCUUGAUUUCUUGAUGUACAACCUCUUAAAGAAAAUAGGCAGGUGAUGCAAGGAGCCUCCACCACCUAUGGCUGCAAGAUCUCUUAUAAUGGUUGCUAAGUGCCUUCAAAAUCUUGCUAAUCUCAUUGAAUUUGGAGGGAAGGAACCCUACAUGGAAGUUGUCAACCCCUUUAU